UAUGGAGGAGCAAAAACCAAGAGUACAUAGUAGGAAGAGAAUGAGCUCUAAUGAUUAUUAUGGAAAGGGGAAUUUGCCGAAAUUAUUCAAAACCUCAUUGUUUGAAUAGUUGGGUCUACAUUGAAUAAGUGUAGAACUGUCAUAUAGGAAACUAUAUGGAGGGCUAUCUU
rnacentral:ncRNA from 1 species